ensembl:piRNA 21ur-2060 ncRNA
UGCGAAAUUUUCAAAGUCUUG